AUUCUGACUCUGAAUGUACUAAAAUAUGGAAAAAUAUAGAAAAGUUUAGCAUGGCCCCUGCUGAAAGGUUACAAGAAUUUUCUUGAAAUAUUCCAUAUUUCU
ensembl:snRNA U6 U6 spliceosomal RNA